rnacentral:siRNA from 1 species
UGACAUUCACUGGUAUGAUGAUG